rnacentral:rRNA from 1 species
GGAAGUAAAAAUCGUAACAAGGUCUCCGUUGGUGAACCAGCGGAGGGAUCAUUACAGAGUUGCAAAACUCCCUAAACCAUUGUGAACGUUACCUAUACCGUUGCUUCGGCGGGCGGCCCCGGGGUUUACCCCCCGGGCGCCCCUGGGCCCCACCGCGGGCGCCCGCCGGAGGUCACCAAACUCUUGAUAAUUUAUGGCCUCUCUGAGUCUUCUGUACUGAAUAAGUCAAAACUUUCAACAACGGAUCUCUUGGUUCUGGCAUCGAUGAAGAACGCAGCGAAAUGCGAUAAGUAAUGUGAAUUGCAGAAUUCAGUGAAUCAUCGAAUCUUUGAACGCACAUUGCGCCCGCCAGCAUUCUGGCGGGCAUGCCUGUUCGAGCGUCAUUUCAACCAUCAAGCCCCCGGGCUUGUGUUGGGGACCUGCGGCUGCCGCAGGCCCUGAAAAGCAGUGGCGGGCUCGCUGUCGCACCGAGCGUAGUAGCAUACAUCUCGCUCUGGUCGCGCCGCGGGUUCCGGCCGUUAAACCACCUUUUUAACCCAAGGUUGACCUCGGAUCAGGUAGGAAGACCCGCUGAACUUAAGCAUAUCAAUAAGCGGAGGA